UUGAAGGUGUAAAAAGGGCGUGUUCCCAGAGU
rnacentral:piRNA from 1 species